GGAGGUAGUGACAAUAAAUCACAAUGCGGAACUAUUAGUUUUGCAAUUGGAUUGAGAACAACGUACAAACCUUAUCGAUAAACAAUUGGAGGGCAAGUCUGGUGCCAGCAGCCGCGGUAAUUCCAGCUCCAAUAGCGUAUAUUAACGUUGUUGCAGUUAAAAAGCUCGUAGUUGAAGUGAAGUGAACAAAGAAGAGAAGAAUCUUCGGAUUCGGAUCUAAUGCGUUGACUCUUUCCAAAGUCAAUGUAUGGGUAUUCAUUUAUCUAUAUAUUGUGUUUGGUCGUUUACUGUGAGAAAAUUAUAGUGUUCAAAGCAGACGUUUGUUUGAAUACAUUAGCAUGGAAUAAUCAGAUAAGGCUUUCAUGUGUAUUUGAUUGGUUUGGAUAUGAAAGCAAGGUUAAUAGGGACAGUUGGGGGUAUUCAUAUUCAAUAGUCAGAGGUGAAAUUCUCGGAUUUAUGGAAGAUGAACAAGUGCGAAAGCAA
rnacentral:rRNA from 1 species